CGACUCGAGCCCCUACGCCGCGUGCGGACCACUGCCCCGGAGCGGAACGCGUGUACGACCCGAGAGCGCAACAUGUCUGGAGCGCGUGGGGCAGAUGCCGUCCACCUCACCUGCUUCUUCCGGACACCAAGCGGGGACCAUGCCGGCGGACAGAUGUGGCGCCUCACGUGGAUUGUAUUUGUUUCCCUGUUUAUUUACGGCACAUCAGCACAAGGCGAUGCUCAGGACUUUCACUGGCUCGAGAGGAAACCGG
ensembl:lncRNA